rnacentral:sRNA from 1 species
AGCAGCCGCGGUAAUUCCAGCUCCAAUAGCGUAUAUUAAAGUUGUUGCAGUUAAAAAGCUCGUAGUUGAAUUUCGGGAUCAGUAUGUCGGUCGUGCUUCGGUACGUACUGUCAUUACUGGUUUCUACCUUCUGAAGAACCAUGAUGUCAUUAAUUUGGUGUCAUGGGGAAUCAGGACUGUUACUUUGAAAAAUUAGAGUGUUUAAAGCAGGCUCGCGCUUGAAUACAUUAGCAUGGAAUAAUGAAAUAGGACGUUUGAUUCUAUUUUGUUGGUUUCUAGGAUCGACGUAAUGAUUAAUAGGGAUAGUUGGGGGCAUUAGUAUUCAAUUGUCAGAGGUGAAAUUCUUGGAUUUAUUGAAGACUAACUACUGCGAAAGCAUUUGCCAAGGAUGUUUUCAUUAAUCAAGAACGAAAGUUAGGGGAUCGAAGACGAUCAGAUACCGUCGUAGUCUUAACCAUAAACUAUGCCGACUAGGGAUCGGAUGAUGUUAUUUUUAAUGACUC